CAGCCUGGGCGACAGAGUGAGACUCCAUCUCAAAGAAAAAAAAAAGAAAAAAGAAAACAGCUCUAUUUAACGAGUGUUCAUAGCUGAAAGCACCGAUAAAUCGGGUGGAAUCACAGGCUCUGUCCUCAGGCCCAGCCCACUGCCGGCUGCCGAUUCCCGGGAGUGUUCACACCUCCCUGGUAAAUCACAGGUGGAAUCACAGGCUCUGUCCUCGGGCCCAACCCGCUGCCGGCUGCUGGUUCCCGGGAGUGUUCACACCUCGCUGGUAAAUCACAGGUGGAAUCACAGGCUCUGUCCUCAGACCCAACCCGCUGCCGGCUGCUGGUUCCCGGGAGUGUUCACACCUCACUCCCGCAGGGGAGGGUGCCCCCUAGUGUGCACCUCACUUUGUCUUCGCCUUUCAGAACUGUGCUAUGCAUUCUAAUAAGUCUUGUUUAAAUGAAAACUUUAUCAGAAUGGAAAGACCACAAAACGUGUAGUCAUACCUGAAAUUCCAGUGCCGUUGACACUGCCAGACAUUGGCUGGGCAAACUUGAGCAAUUUAUUUAACCUUUCUACUCUGAAUUUUUAAACUGCAAAUUGACCAUAAUAACCCUGGUUUCAUGAAGUUUCCUAGGGAUGCUGAAGACAAAUGAGCCCAGUGAGACCCAGAUGAAAGGAAGAAAGAGAAAAAGAGAGAGAGAGAGAAUGAGGGCAGGGGAGAGCGAAGGGCAGAGAUGCAGCCUCAUUCUCACUCCUAAACGAGCUCAGUUAUUCUGUGGCCUCUCAGCAACGUGGCUGCUUUCUCCUCUGCAGUGCCCCCAAGGUGGGCUUUGCGGUCUGUGUUAUUUCCACCUCGCCGAGAAAUGGGCUCCUCCUCAGACCUCAGGCCCUGGGCCACUCUCCCUUUAACCAACACCAUGAGAUCUUUGCUCCCUCCUGGGCCCAACCAAUGAUGGUAUUACCAAAGGCAUUCAUGUAAAAUGCAAAGUAAAGAAGACAAGGUUGUGAGUUAAACCUUGGAGCAUUCUGAUUCCGAAGAUCUGGAGUCCAUAUCAUUGUAACAGACAGGACUCAGACUCAGUUUUAAAUCACAGGCAAGAGUUUUGGGAACAAGAAAUAAGCACAGAAAAUGGGCAGGAGGACGGUGGAUGAAACCAAUGGGCUGAUCAUGGUUCCAGGAUGGUCUUGCCGUGGAGGUGACGGGGUGAGCGCUGCAGUGCAGGGCUGGGGGUGUCACAGAAACGGGUGCCCCAGGUACGGCGUUGUCCAGGAAGGAUGAGAAACCUGAGAACAGCUGGGUGGGAGCAGAGUCCACCAGCUGCACGGGGGUGGGGAGAGGUGCCCAUCAGGGCCUGAGAGCAGCAAGGCUGGGGAGGAACCCUAAUCCCUCAUCUGCAUGAGAUGUGGGGCCUGCCGGAGCCCCAUAGAGCUUGGAACGGAGCUGGGGAGGAGCAUUUGCCAGGCCUCCCGUCCCUUCCUGCUGCCCACUGGGAUUGCUCCCGAAGGAAGAAGAACCCAUCAAGUCCUUGUAAAUGUGCUGGGGAGAGAACCCCUGACAGCGCCUGGUGCUCGAUCCUGGGGAGCCACUGUCUACACUGUCUAUCCUCUGCCCUGUCUCGGGUGACCCUGACUCUCGGGUUGUUCUGGUACCAUGAAGUUUCUGGGCUCGGGUCCAUGGCACCUGGAAAAUGUCACAUAAGUUAAAUGGUCUUCAAAGCCCAAGACGAGAUGUUCUAUGCACCCCUCAGAGACCCUAUGAGGCAGGAAGGACAGUGGGGCCAUGAGGGUCCCCAGCUUCUCCAGCUCGACCUGUGCCUGGAAAUUACUCCCUGAAAUCGUGAGCAGAGCUGGAUGCUGGGUCAGUUCUGUGAUCUGUGGGACUCUACCCUUAAUGGCUUCAUUUAUUUACAGGGAUCUAACCUUAUAUUUAUCUAUGUAAAGAAAGAAAUUGGUCAUUUCUUAGAUUCACCUGCGCAUGAGAUAUCUUUUUAAGAAUAUUUUCCUAGCCAUUAAAGAACAUAAGUCGAUUUUCUUUUUUCAUUUCCCUAUUGCUAUGUUACAAAAGGUAAUAUUCUAUACUUUUUGUAUUAAAGGACUUCAAAUUACUGAUACUCUAGAUGACUUCUCAAGUCUUUGCCAUAGUCUGAAUGAAGAAUGUGAGCCCUAGGUUAAAAAGAUCAACAAUUAAAUCUCAGGGUGUGUGUUCACCAGGAGGCCUAGUGUUAUUUUCUUGUUGGCCGUUUGAGAUUGGCUGAGAGGGAAGAUCUCGUGCUGUGUUCUCAGCACAGGCACAGGUGUAAGGAAGCCUCCAGGAGGUGCAGAAUUCCUCGACUGCUUAACUCAGUGAUGGUUUCACGGGUGUUUGCUCAGGUCAAGCCUCACCGAAGUGCACUCAUUAAAUGUGUGCAGCUCUUUGUGUGGCAAUUAUACCUCAAAAAUACUGAAACACUUUUACACUUGAAAUAAUCGAAGUGACAUUUCAAUCUAAAAGUAUACAAAGCUAUUGCCUACAUAGCUGAUUUUUCCAUGAGAGUCUCGUUUACAAGAGAAACACAAUUAUGAAGUCAGUGUCCUUUAAUUGUAAAUGGUAACGGAAGAAGCGUGAGGUCCUGUCACGUCAGGGCUUACUCUCCCGCGUGUUUAUUCCGUGGCUAACCAUAUGGUAGAUCUGCAGUGAUUCGGGAAGAUGAAUUAUCUUCGACACAGAAAAGUUCAGUCCUCUGGCAUGUAUGAAUCCUGGUGUGGUUUUUACACAACGUUCUGCGGGGAUGCGUGGGGAGAAGCUGUGACGACAGUAUCGGGAUUUGUUCAUGCUUCGUUCAUCCCAGAGGCCGGCAACUGCCCGCGCAGUCACUGAGCCUCCAGCGCUGAGCACCGGACACUCCACCCUCCCCGAGGCACGUGUGCGGAUGCAGGUGAGACGCCCAGACCAGGAGGGUGUGCGUGGGGGAUCGGGCUCCAGAGAACCUGAGAUGAGAUUCAACCAUGUGGACGGGCUGGUGGAGGUGGUGGCUCCUGGGCUGGGGAGGUGUAAAGAAGAAUCCUGGUGACCCUGGCCCCGAAAAACUGCCGUGUACAUUUAGUAGAAGACGGUCCAUGAAAACAGACUCUCAGAAGCAAAGAGGGGCCUCGACGGGACCCCACUCCCACGUGCAGUGCCAGGUCUUACUCUCUCCACCCCCACAGGGAGUGUCCUCACCUCUCUGGUCUUCCUUCCCUUGCCUGGUUUGCAAUUGUCCACUCAAUUCCUGCAGCCCCAAACAGUCUUUUUGAUGUGGACUAUUUUGAGCUUGACAUAAAUGAAUUAACGAGCAGUGUGUGUUUUUGUUGCUUCGUCCACUCACACACUGUCUGAGACACACUCAUGUCUCCGGAGGUCCCUCACUCGCCUUGUGCUGGCUGACUCCCCUGAGGGAUUUGCUGGGACGUCCUUAUCCAUCUGCCGUGAACGAGCAUUUGGAUCUCUUCCCACUCGGGUUUGUGCGAACAGUGACACCAGGUGCAUCUGAAAUUCGCCUUGUGCCCAGGUGCACGCGGGGCGUGUGCAGCUCCCUGACCCCUCUGCAGUGGGAGAGCAAUGAGGCCCAGGGCGUAGCAGGGAGGUGUGGGUGUGGGGCCAGGCUGGGGUGGGGGAGAGGACACUGGAUUCUGGGCUUUAUCUGAGGGCUGAGCAGCAGGCGUCAUGGCAGAUCGGAUCUGGUGUUGAACUGACCCGACUCUCCCAGAGAACUGAUGUUCAUGGUUUCUCUGAAUAACAGAAAUGGAUCCUUGUGGUCUUGAAACUUGAGAAAGUGACAUUUGUCUUAUUUGAGUUCUUUUCUCAGGAAACUGACCAUCAGGCCUCCCGGGUAGUGUGAAGGAACAGAGACUCACCAGAUCACGGCAUCUGGACGUAACCAUCGUCUCAGUGACUGGCUUUCUGUGUGCUGAGCAGUAGGAUCUGGAACAAACCCCUGCAUUUUGGGAACAGGGAGAGCAGCCUCAGCAGGUCCCCAGCCCUGAGCGCAGACAUGACCACCAGGGACCCACACCAGCCCCCAAAGGUGAGUGUGGACAAGAAGAAAAGGGUCCUGAGGACCCAGCCAGGAGAAUUCCUGCAACGUCACGAAGAAUCACGGCCACCCGGCCCAAGCCACCCUUGAAGGGCAGCUGCAAGAUUCAGCUCAUUUUUCUUCUUUCCUGGACGUCUUCAAAUCUCCUUCAACACAACCUUGUGUGAUCCUGAGAUUCCAUCAAGGUGUGCACUGUUUUACUAUAUUGCUUUACUCUGCCAGCUAUCUGGAGAAAUGCAACCUCAUCAGCAGAAAUUAUUUCCUCCCUGCCGCUUUUUAAAUCUGUUAUUUCCUACAGCCAGGUACUGAGCCCUUCAAUUGAGGUCUAAACCCUCUGCCCUCUCCCUCCAGGGUCACCAAGCCGGUGGUUUCAGUUCCAUGCUCCCAGGCAGAUUGUGUCAACUCAAAGUCCAGCGCGCUUAUGAAAUACUUUUUGUGUUUUUUUUCUUAAUUUUAGGAGGGUUUUUUUAAAUGUUUUUGUUUCAUGGAGGUGACACCCUCCGUCUUUGACUUGUGGGCGCCUUCCUCCUUCAGUCUGCGUGCACUGAAGCCAGUGUUUGCUGUACAGCCUCUCAGCCGCAGCCCACAGUGAGGUGCAGGUGCUCAGCCAUCGCCCCAGAGAGCGCCUCCAUUCACCCCUCCACCCGUAGCCCCUCGAAACCACUGCCCUGCUCGCGGACAUGGUAGCACUGUGUUCUCCAAGAUGCCACGUGGCAGCAUCCUUCGGCCUGUGCCCACUGAAACUAGCUUCCUUCACCAGGCAUGUGGCCUGGGAGACCUGGGGCAUUUGGGGUGCAUGUUUCCACUGCUGGUUGGUGCCCCCUGUGUGGAAGCAUCCGCGUUGGUUCACGCCUUCUCCUGCCGAUGGACGUUUUGUUUUCUUUCAGUUAUUGGCAAUGAGCAAUGAGGCCUAAACACUUGAGUGCAGGAUUGUGUGUGCACGUUUAAGCUUUCUCUUGGGGGAAAUUUUAGGAGUGGGGUUGCUGGAUGACGUGGUAAGAAUGUGCUUAACUUAAUAAGAAACUCCUGGACCACGUCCAGCCCGGCGGGACCCCUCCCAUUCCCACUGCCGUUUGUGAGGGUCCCAGUUCCUCUGCAUCGUCACUAGAAGCUGGGUUGGUCCAUGGUUUUUGUCUGUUUUUAGUCAUUUUAAUAGAUUUGCAGAGCUACUGUUGACUGGCAUUUCUCCAGCAUCUCUAUCAUGUUGAGCCUCUUUCUCGGGCAAUAUGCCCUCCUUAAACCUUCUUUGAUGAGGCCUCCAUUCAAAUAUCUGCCCUCUCUUUAAUAUUGGGGUUUUUACUUUCUUAUGGUUAAGUUUUGAUCGUUCUUCAUAUAUUCUGUGUGCCAGUAUGUUGUGAGAUGUGUGAUUCACGAAUAUUUUUUUCUAGACCACAGUUUGUGUUUCAUUCUCUUUAGAUUUUUAUAUUGCUUUAUAGAAUUAUAAUUUUAAAUUUAUGACUAAA